rnacentral:rRNA from 1 species
ACUCCUACGGGAGGCAGCAGUGGGGAAUAUUGCACAAUGGGGGAAACCCUGAUGCAGCCAUGCCGCGUGUGUGAAGAAGGCCUUCGGGUUGUAAAGCACUUUCAGUAGGGAGGAAGGUAGUGUAGUUAACACCUGCACUAUUUUGACGUUACCUACAGAAGAAGCACCGGCUAACUCCGUGCCAGCAGCCGCGGUAAUACGGAGGGUGCGAGCGUUAAUCGGAAUUACUGGGCGUAAAGCGCAUGCAGGCGGCCUGUUAAGUCAGAUGUGAAAGCCCGGGGCUUAACCUCGGAAUUGCAUUUGAAACUGGCAGGCUAGAGUCUUGUAGAGGGGGGUAGGAA